CCUACGGGUGGCAGCAGUGAGGAAUAUUGGUCAAUGGGCGGAAGCCUGAACCAGCCAAGUAGCGUGCAGGAUGACGGCCCUACGGGUUGUAAACCGCUUUUGUACGGGAAUAACGCGCCUUACGGGUGGGGCUUUGCGUGUACCCUAUGAAUAAGGACCGGCUAAAUCCGUGCCAGCAGCCGCGGUAAUACGGAAGGUCCGGGCGUUAUCCGGAUUUAUUGGGUUUAAAGGGUGCGUAGGCCGGAUGUCCAGCCUGCUGUGAAAUGUCCGUGCUCAACCCGGGACUAGCCGCGGUAACUGGCGUGCUUGAGUGCGCGGAAAGCAUGCGGAAUGCGUGGUGUAGCGGUGAAAUGCAUAGAUAUGACGAAGAACUCCGAUUGCGAAGGCAGCAUGCUGCAGCGGAACUGACGCUGAUGCACGAAAGCGCGGGUAUCGAACAGGAUUAGAUACCCUUGUAGUC
rnacentral:rRNA from 1 species